CGACCCCUGAAGGGUACCGUUGGAUCCAUUCACGAACCACCCUAAUAUUACAAACGAACAUCUUCCGGAAAGGGAAUAUAUAAGGGACCAAGAAAUAGAAACUGGUCAGAGCUAGUCUGAUCUCCACACAACAAGCUACAAAAUGAACAAGUGUCUCGCCCUGAUCCUUAUCCCAUGUCUGGUGGCCUACGUUGUGGCCAUGCAGUACCCGACCGGAUCCGGUUACCCCGGAUACGGAAUGACAGGAGGAUACGGAAGCGGAUACGGUCUGAGUAACUACUACUACAACUACGGAAACAACCAGCAGAAGAAGAGCUCCAACUUCGCUCUCCUGAUCUCUGGUCUCCUGUUGCUGUUCGCCUUCAACAUCACCGGAACUCUGACUGGUUAAACGUAAACCAAGGAGGUGGAGAUCGGCGAAGCACUCAUACAAAUUAUGAUUACACACGACUGCCAAACAUAGAUGUGAUAUUGCGCGAUGUAUCUGUAUUGCUGUUAUUAUAUGUAUUUAUUGUCAUAAUUAAAAUAUCAUCUAAAGUA